rnacentral:SRP_RNA from 1 species
GCCAGGCACAGUGGCGCAUGCCUGUAGAUCCAUCUACUCGGGAGGCUGAGGAUGGAGGAUCGCUUGAGUCCAGGAAUUCUGGGCUGUAGUGCACUAUGCUGCUCAGGUGUCCGCACUAAGUUCGGCAACAAUAUGGUAACCCCUGGGAGAGGGCACCACCAAGUUGCCUAAGGAGGGGCAAACUGGCCCUGGUAGGAAACAGAGCAGAUCAAAACUCCCAUGCUGAUCAGCAGUGGGAUUGCCCCUGUGAAUAGCCACUGCACUCUAGCCUGGGCAAUAUAGUGAGACCCUGUCUCU